AGUGAACGCUGGCGGUAGGCCUAACACAUGCAAGUCGAACGGCAGCACAGUAAGAGCUUGCCCUUACGGGUGGCGAGUGGCGGACGGGUGAGGAAUACAUCGGAAUCUACUUUUUCGUGGGGGAUAACGUAGGGAAACUUACGCUAAUACCGCAUACGACCUACGGGUGAAAGCAGGGGAUCUUCGGACCUUGCGCGAUUGAAUGAGCCGAUGUCGGAUUAGCUAGUUGGCGGGGUAAAGGCCCACCAAGGCGACGAUCCGUAGCUGGUCUGAGAGGAUGGUCAGCCACACUGGAACUGAGACACGGUCCAGGCUCCUACGGGAGGCAGCAGUGGGGAAUGUUGGACAAUGGGCGCGAGCCUGAUCCAGCCAUACCGCGUGGGUGAAGAAGGCCUUCGGGUUGUAAAGCCCUUUUGUUGGGAAAGAAAAGCAGCAGGUUAAUACCCCGCUGUUCUGACGGUACCCAAAGAAUAAGCACCGGCUAACUUCGUG
rnacentral:rRNA from 1 species